AUUGAACGCUGGCGGAAUGCUUUACACAUGCAAGUCGAACGGUAGAGGGGGCAACCCCUCGAGAGUGGCGAACGGGUGAGUAAUAUAUCGGAACGUGCCCAGUCGUGGGGGAUAACGUAGCGAAAGUUACGCUAAUACCGCAUACGAUCUAAGGAUGAAAGCGGGGGACCGUAAGGCCUCGCGCGAUUGGAGCGGCCGAUAUCAGAUUAGGUAGUUGGUGAGGUAAAGGCUCACCAAGCCAACGAUCUGUAGCUGGUCUGAGAGGACGACCAGCCACACUGGAACUGCGACACGGUCCAAACCCCUACGGGAGGCAGCAGUGGGGAAUUUUGGACAAUGGACGCAAGUCUGAUCCAGCCAUUCCGCGUGCAGGAUGAAGGCCCUCGGGUUGUAAACUGCUUUUGUACGGAACGAAAAGGUCUCUCCUAAUACGAGGGGCUCAUGACGGUACCGUAAGAAUAAGCACCGGCUAACUACGUGCCAGCCGCCGCAGUAA
rnacentral:rRNA from 1 species